rnacentral:rRNA from 1 species
UACGAAGGGGGCUAGCGUUGUUCGGAAUUACUGGGCGUAAAGCGCGCGCAGGCGGUCUUCCAAGUCAGUGGUGAAAGCCCGGAGCUCAACUCCGGAACUGCCAUUGAAACUGUUGGACUUGAGUACGAGAGAGGUGAGUGGAAUUCCCAGUGUAGAGGUGAAAUUCGUAGAUAUUCGGAAGAACACCAGUGGCGAAGGCGACUCGCUGGACAAGUAUUGACGCUGAGGUGCGAAAGCGUGGGGAGCAAACAGG